GGCUUGAGGUUUCGAAAACAAUGGACCUUGAAAGUCUAUAAAAGAUGUUAAACUCAUCUUCAA
rnacentral:tRNA from 1 species